AGAGUUUGAUCAUGGCUCAGGAUGAACGCUGGCGGCGUGCCUAACACAUGCAAGUCGAACGGUGGUAGUAAUAUCACAGUGGCGCACGGGUGAGUAACACGUAGCUAAUCUGCCCUCCAGCGCGGGAUAACGUUCCGAAAGGGAUGCUAAUACCGCAUAAGCUCACGCGAUGUAGAGGCGAGUGAGAAAAGGGGCAACCCACUGGAAGAGGAGGCUGCGGCCCAUCAGGUAGUUGGUGAGGUAACGGCUCACCAAGCCGACGACGGGUAGGGGGUCUGAGAGGAUGAUCCCCCACACUGGGACUGAGACACGGCCCAGACUCCUACGGGAGGCAGCAGUGAGGGAUAUUGGUCAAUGGGCGAAAGCCUGAACCAGCGACGCCGCGUGGGUGAAGAAGGCCUUCGGGUCGUAAAGCCCUUUUGGGGGUGACGAGACAAGGACGGUAGCCCCAGAAUAAGUCUCGGCUAACUACGUGCCAGCAGCCGCGGUAAAACGUAGGAGGCAAGCGUUAUCCGGAGUUACUGGGCGUAAAGCGCGUGUAGGCGGCUCGGUAAGUGGGUCGUGAAAGCGCCCGGCUAAACUGGGCGAGGACGAUCGAGACUGCCGGGCUAGAGGGUGGUAGAGGGACAGGGAAUUCCGGGUGUAGCGGUGAAAUGUGUAGAGAUCCGGAGGAACACCAGUGGCGAAGGCGCUGUCCUGGGCCACCACUGACGCUGAUACGCGAAGGCGUGGGGAGCGAACGGGAUUAGAGACCCCGGUAGUCCACGCGGUAAACGAUGCAGACUGGGUGUUCACUUUCCUAACGGGAAGGGAGUGCCGAAGCCAACGCGGUAAGUCUGCCGCCUGGGGAGUACGGUCGCAAGGCUAAAACUCAAAGGAAUUGACGGGGGCCCGCACAAGCAGCGGAGCGUGUGGUUUAAUUCGAGGCUACACGAGAUCUUACUCAGGUUUGACAUGCGGUGGUAGGGAGCGAAAGCGGACCGACCGCAAGGAGCCCGCACAAGGUGCUGCAUG
rnacentral:rRNA from 1 species